rnacentral:rRNA from 1 species
UACGAAGGGGGCUAGCGUUGCUCGGAAUUACUGGGCGUAAAGGGCGCGUAGGCGGCCUUGUCAGUCGGGCGUGAAAUCCCCGGGCUCAACCUGGGAAUUGCGUUCGAUACGGCUGGGCUUGAGGCCGAGAGAGGGUGGUGGAAUUCCCAGUGUAGAGGUGAAAUUCGUAGAUAUUGGGAAGAACACCGGUGGCGAAGGCGGCCACCUGGCUCGGUACUGACGCUGAGGCGCGACAGCGUGGGGAGCAAACAGG